rnacentral:rRNA from 1 species
AUUGAACGCUGGCGGCAGGCCUAACACAUGCAAGUCGAGCGAGCGGCGGACGGGUGAGUAAUGUAUGGGGACUGCCCGAUAGAGGGGGAUAACUACUGGAAACGGUGGCUAAUACCGCAUACUAUCGGAUAACCCAUAUGGGAUUAGCUAGUAGGUGGGGUAAAGGCUCACCUAGGCGACGAUCUCUAGCGGGUCUGAGAGGAUGAUCAGCCACCCUGGGUCUGAGACACGGCCCCGACACCUACGGGGGCAGCAGUGGGGAAUCUUGCACGAGGGGCGCAAGCCUGAUGCAGCAAUGCCGCGUGUAUGAAGAAGGCCUUAGGGUUGUAAAGUACUUUCAGCGGUGAGGCGUUACCCGCAGAAGAAGCCCCGGCUAACUACGUGCCAGCAGCCGCGGUAAUAC